UACAGAGGGUGCGAGCGUUGUUCGGAAUUAUUGGGCGUAAAGGGCGCGUAGGCGGCGCCACAAGUCACCUGUGAAAACUCUGGCUCAACCCAGAGCCUGCAGGCGAAACUGUGGUGCUGGAGUAUGGGAGAGGUGCGUGGAAUUCCGGUGUAGCGGUAGAAUGCGUAGAUAUCGGGAGGAACACCAGUGGCGAAGGCGGCAUCCUGGCCAUGGUCCUGGACGC
rnacentral:rRNA from 1 species